UGACUGCGUACCUUUUGUAUAAUGGGUCAGCGACUUAUAUUCUGUAGCAAGGUUAACCGUAUAGGGGAGCCGAAGGGAAACCGAGUCUUAACUGGGCGUUAAGUUGCAGGGUAUAGACCCGAAACCCGGUGAUCUAGCCAUGGGCAGGUUGAAGGUUGGGUAACACUAACUGGAGGACCGAACCGACUAAUGUUGAAAAAUUAGCGGAUGACCUGUGGCUGGGGGUGAAAGGCCAAUCAAACCGGGAGAUAGCUGGUUCUCCCCGAAAGCUAUUUAGGUAGCGCCUCGUGAACUCAUCUUCGGGGGUAGAGCACUGUUUCGGCUAGGGGGCCAUCCCGGCUUACCAACCCGAUGCAAACUACGAAUACCGAAGAAUGUUAUCACGGGAGACACACGGCGGGUGCUAACGUCCGUCGUGAAGAGGGAAACAACCCAGACCGCCAGCUAAGGUCCCAAAGUCAUGGUUAAGUGGGAAACGAUGUGGGAAGGCACAGACAGCCAGGAUGUUGGCUUAGAAGCAGCCAUCAUUUAAAGAAAGCGUAAUAGCUCACUGGUCGAGUCGGCCUGCGCGGAAGAUGUAACGGGGCUAAACCAUGCACCGAAGCUGCGGCAGCGACGCUUAUGCGUUGUUGGGUAGGGGAGCGUUCUGUAAGCCGUUGAAGGUGUGCUGUGAGGCAUGCUGGAGGUAUCAGAAGUGCGAAUGCUGACAUAAGUAACGAUAAAGCGGGUGAAAAGCCCGCUCGCCGGAAGACCAAGGGUUCCUGUCCAACGUUAAUCGGGGCAGGGUGAGUCGACCCCUAAGGCGAGGCCGAAAGGCGUAGUCGAUGGGAAACAGGUUAAUAUUCCUGUACUUGGUGUUACUGCGAAGGGGGGACGGAGAAGGCUAUGUCAGCCGGGCGACGGUUGUCCCGGUUUAAGCAUGUAGGCGGAGGUUCCAGGUAAAUCCGGUACCUUGUUAACGCUGAGGUGUGAUGACGAGGCACUACGGUGCUGAAGUGAUAAAUGCCCUGCUUCCAGGAAAAGCCUCUAAGCAUCAGGUAACACGAAAUCGUACCCCAAACCGACACAGGUGGUCAGGUAGAGAAUACCAAGGCGCUUGAGAGAACUCGGGUGAAGGAACUAGGCAAAAUGGUGCCGUAACUUCGGGAGAAGGCACGCUGAUAUGUAGGUGAAGUCCCUGCGGACGGAGCUGAAAUCAGUCGAAGAUACCAGCUGGCUGCAACUGUUUAUUAAAAACACAGCACUGUGCAAACACGAAAGUGGACGUAUACGGUGUGACGCCUGCCCGGUGCCGGAAGGUUAAUUGAUGGGGUCAGCGGCAACGCGAAGCUCUUGAUCGAAGCCCCGGUAAACGGCGGCCGUAACUAUAACGGUCCUAAGGUAGCGAAAUUCCUUGUCGGGUAAGUUCCGACCUGCACGAAUGGCGUAAUGAUGGCCAGGCUGUCUCCACCCGAGACUCAGUGAAAUUGAACUCGCUGUGAAGAUGCAGUGUACCCGCGGCAAGACGGAAAGACCCCGUGAACCUUUACUAUAGCUUGACACUGAACACUGGUCCUUGAUGUGUAGGAUAGGUGGGAGGCUUUGAAGCGUGGACGCCAGUCUGCGUGGAGCCAUCCUUGAAAUACCACCCUUUAAUGGCUGGUGUUCUAACGUAGACCCGUGAUCCGGGUUGCGGACAGUGUCUGGUGGGUAGUUUGACUGGGGCGGUCUCCUCCCAAAGAGUAACGGAGGAGCACGAAGGUUGGCUAAUCCUGGUCGGACAUCAGGAGGUUAGUGCAAUGGCAUAAGCCAGCUUGACUGCGAGCGUGACGGCGCGAGCAGGUGCGAAAGCAGGUCAUAGUGAUCCGGUGGUUCUGAAUGGAAGGGCCAUCGCUCAACGGAUAAAAGGUACUCCGGGGAUAACAGGCUGAUACCGCCCAAGAGUUCAUAUCGACGGCGGUGUUUGGCACCUCGAUGUCGGCUCAUCACAUCCUGGGGCUGAAGUAGGUCCCAAGGGUAUGGCUGUUCGCCAUUUAAAGUGGUACGCGAGCUGGGUUUAGAACGUCGUGAGACAGUUCGGUCCCUAUCUGCCGUGGGCGCUGGAGAAUUGAGGGGGGCUGCUCCUAGUACGAGAGGACCGGAGUGGACGCAUCACUGGUGUUCGGGUUGUCAUGCCAAUGGCACUGCCCGGUAGCUAAAUGCGGAAGAGAUAAGUGCUGAAAGCAUCUAAGCACGAAACUUGCCCCGAGAUGAGUUCU
rnacentral:rRNA from 1 species